GUCAACGUGGAUGAGGCUGUGCUCCACUUCAAAGAGUGGCAGCUCAACCAGAAGAAACGAUCGGAGUCCUUUCGUUUCCAGCAGGAAAAUCUUAAACGGCUAAGAGACAGCAUCACCCGAAGACAGAGAGAGAAGCAAAAAUCAGGAAAGCAGACAGGUAGCACAAGUAACCGCUCCAGCACCCGGAGCCUCCUCAGUGUGAGCAGCGGGAUGGAAGGGGACAACGAGGAUAAUGAAGUCCCUGAGGUUACCAGAAGUCGCAGUCCAGGCCCCCCACAAGUGGAUGGGACACCCACCAUGUCCCUCGAGAGACCCCCCAGGGUGCCUCCGAGAGCUGCCUCACAGAGGCCUCCGACCAGGGAGACCUUCCAUCCUCCUCCACCUGUUCCACCCAGAGGACGCUGAUUCCACCUCCUAAAACCUGCCUACUUCAGGACUUUAAGACUCACAGUCUUCAGCCUGUUAAUGAUGUCUUCAUGUUGAGUUUUAUAGCAUGACUGUUGACCUUAAGAUCCAUUCUCAUUGCUGAUAAUGCUGCAGCCCUGCUGGUUUGGGCUUGCCUCGAAGAUUUUAUUAAGGCACGAA
rnacentral:lncRNA from 1 species